UGGGGAAUUUUGGACAAUGGGCGCAAGCCUGAUCCAGCCAUACCGCGUGAGUGAAGAAGGCCUUCGGGUUGUAAAGCUCUUUCAGACGGAAAGAAACGGUCACGGCUAAUACCCGUGACUAAUGACGGUACCGUAAGAAGAAGCACCGGCUAACUACGUGCCAGCAGCCGCGGUAAUACGUAGGGUGCGAGCGUUAAUCGGAAUUACUGGGCGUAAAGCGUGCGCAGGCGGUUUUUAAGACAGAUGUGAAAUCCCCGGGCUUAACCUGGGAACUGCAUUUGUGACUGGAAGACUAGAGUGUAGCAGAGGGGGAUAGAAUUCCACGUGUAGCAGUGAAAUGCGUAGAUAUGUGGAGGAAUACCGAUGGCGAAGGCAGCCCCCUGGGCUAACACUGACGCUCAUGCACGAAAGCGUGGGGAGCAAACAGGAUUAGAUACCCCCGUAGUCCCUG
rnacentral:rRNA from 1 species